UUAACUCAAAUUUGUAUGGAGUUGGAACGUUUGAAUAUGUUUGCUGCUAGGGGCGCUGUUCCAACUGCGUAGUAAUUUGAGUUA
rnacentral:pre_miRNA from 1 species